GAUCCUUGCUCAGGAUGAACGCUGGCGGCGUGCCUAACACAUGCAAGUCGAGCGAUUCUCUUCGGAGAAGAGCGGCGGACGGGUGAGUAACGCGUGGGUAACCUGCCUCAUACACAUGGAUAACAUACCGAAAGGUAUGCUAAUACAAGAUAACAUAAGAGAUUCGCAUGGAUUUCUUAUCAAAGCUCCGGCGGUAUGAGAUGGACCCGCGUCUGAUUAGCUAGUUGGUAAGG
rnacentral:rRNA from 1 species